rnacentral:lncRNA from 1 species
CUCUCUCCAUUAAAAAGUUUGCUUGCUGAAAUUUGCAUGAAAUAUUCUUAUUUUAUUUUAUUUUUUUCUCUCUCUGACAGGGAGUAAAAGUCACACUGUGAAAUUGUGGCUCUUUGCAAAGGAAGGGUCUUGUGGUAUGCAGAGAAUGAGAGUAUUGGGUUAAAGCAUCAAAAAACAACAACAGCAGCAACACAAACAAAGCACUCACACCCCCUCUAUUCAACAAUAAUGUCUGAUUAUUUAUGUCCGGUUGCUAUGUUGCAAAAAGUCUCAUUUUAAAUAACUACUCUGUGACUACACAAUAUGGUUUCUCUGCAAACCUUGUAAAAAUUAAGGUUUUUUAAAAAAACAAAAACAAAAACAAAAACAACAUGGAUUUCUGCAUCUAGAUUUGCUCUCAGAGUAUUUCUUUGGUUUGACGUGCAUGCCUCUAUGUGCAUGCAGCUGAAAUACUUAUUCCGUACUUGUGUGGGUCUUUACAAUUCUAAUUUGAGAGCCGUCUGAUAAAUACAAUGAUCUAGACUUACUGGCAGGUUUUGUGACAUUGAAACCAUCCAUUUUGAGCAAAAAGUUAAUGAACAUUAAAAGCAAGGUUCACACUGGUCCUGACCCGACUGGUAAUAUUUCAUAUAAGGUUACCAGUGGGAAAGAAAUCAAAUUUCAUCUGUGAACAUGAUUGACAGGCAAGAGUAAAGGGAGAGAAAGACAUUUGGCCGGGAAGGGAAUUUGGGGAGAAGGACAAUGCCUGCAGGUUCCUUAUGGCAUUAGGUAUUAUAAGCCGAUGUAUGGAAAGCUCACUGCCCGGUGCUUUGGGGAGAGUUGUUUUUAGAAAGUCACUUUGAUUAUGAGAUUUCACUCCAAUAAGUACAGUUAUGGUCGACCAGUAGACUCUGCCUCUCGCUAAUUUCAGUCAGGAAGGUGUACCUUAGUGGUUCAUGUCUGGCACCUUAAUGCGAAGGUGAGUUUUGAAAAUGGAACCACAUUGAGUUUUGAAAAUGGAACCACAUUGGGCGUGGUGGUGCACGCCUUUAAUCCCAGCACUCGGGAAACAGAGGCAGGCGGAUUUCUGAGUUCGAGGCCAGCCUGGUCUACAGAGUGAGUUCCAGGACAGCCAGGGCUACGCAGAGAAACCCUGUCUCGAAAAAAAAAAAAAAAAAAAAUGGAACCACAAGACUUGGAGGGAGCUAUUGAGUUGUCUUUUGUUUACUGUCAAAAAUGUAGUCUGGGUUAUACAACAACUAUUCAUGGUCAUAUUACAAAUUAUUCAUCCAAGGGCUGGGGAGAUGGCUCAGCUCUUAAGAGCUCAUACUGCUCUCAAAGAGGACCUGUUUAGAUCUUAGCACCCAUAUUUGGUGCCUUGCAACCACCUGUAACUCUAGCUCCAAGGAUCUGGACACCUUCUACUGGCCUCCAGGGAUAUCCAACAGAUGUAGAUAGAUAGACAGAUAGACCGACAGACAGGCACAUAUACUUUAAAAUAUUCACCUAGAUACUACAGGAAGAUUAAAUUCUCUACUUCAAUAACAUCCCUUGACUUUGACUAAUAUUCUCUAUUAUAUGUCAUACACCCAAAUAUGCUAAUCAAAUAAAAUGCAUUUAGGCCUUCUUUCUCAAGAAAGUUCUAGCACUCAAGUCUAACACCUAAGCAUGGCUUAUCUGUCUUCCAGACAGUCUUGCUUCUUGACUGACUUGUCCCACACCUUCACUGGCCAAGGUGUGACCGUUGCCAUGGCAAUGAGUGAUGCUCUUGCCUGACCCUCUGGUUCAGUGUGGCUUUUGAACUAGCUGUCUCCUGACUUGCAGUGUACUAAGGUGUGAGUGGCUCUAACUACCUUCGAUUUGCAUCCAAUUAAAAAAUAACCCUUCCUGCUCCUGUGUCUUAAGGUCCUGACCCAGGACUUGGAAGGUGGCAAGGAGUCACAGCCAGUUUAUGUGUUUGUUCCGACCAUUUCAGAUGUUCCUGGUCUUGGCUUAGACCCACCUGGAUGCAACUGAGUCUUACAUCGCUGUCUUAGGACAUGGCAGACAAGGCAGAUGCAUAAGACAGAGGCUGGUGGUGACUGUCCUGUCAUCUACAAGAGAUAUAAUGUAUAGAAAUACUCUUUGUUCACAGACACUACCCCAGUCUUCACAGCAUGGACAUGAUUUUCUCUAGCCUUCCUUGUACCCAUGGGAAGUUACUAAAUGUUAGGAAGGCUACCCUGCUAUUUUACAAACAGAGUAGCAUGAAACCACAAGACAAAACAAAGUCUUCAAAGUCUUGUCCCUGCCUACCUGUCUCUAGGUGUUGCUAGUAAGCCUUUGGAGAAAUAUGCAAAUAUAUGUUCAUAGUUCCCACUGGAUAUGUGUCCCUCAGCCAGUGUCCCUCACAGAAUCUAUGAAAAUAUUUGAUAGAUCUAAACCUACAUUUCCACAAGGGAAACUUACCACCCCCACACUGUAAGUUCUGAUUGGCACCUCUGGAAAGACCAAAUGUUUGGUCUUGACCCUGUCCUCCGACAAAAGCUGAUUGGGGUAUCUAGACAGUAAGUCUUUAGACUAAGUCCUGGGAGGAAGAAGGCAUUCUCUCUCACUUGAGGGUUUGUGGUGGGGGCCAAUCUGGUAAAAAAAUUCUCCUUGAGUGUAUUUCAAGCUUAUUGGAUUUUUAUAUCUUUUGGCUCUGAAACAAUUAGGGAAGAGAUUUUGCUUAAAGUGUUCCGUGAUCUCGACUCAACCAAAUUGUUUUCUGUUGCUGCUGUUUGUUGAUUUAGAUUAGGCUCCUCCCCAACCAGCACGCUGAUUUAAUCAAUUCCUGCCAGCAUUCGAUCUAGCCUAAUCAUAUCUUGUGACGGUGUAGUUUUUCCCUCAACCCUGACAUACUAUUGAAGUGGCGAACUUAAAGAAAGAAACAUUCUACAUAUCGGUGAGGGGCGUGGAAGGAUACAUUUUUGCAAAUCCUGUGGCCCUCAGUGACUUAAAACAAAAAUGAUUCUUUCGUAAGGGCCACGUGUCAUAAAGGCACGAGUGUGUUCAGUCAUCUGUCGAACGCUUCCACGCUGACAUUUAAACUCUCUCUCCUCUCACUAGCAGACUCUGUCAUUUCCUUCCCCUGGAAAGGACUAUCAAACUUUAGGUCUGUGUUUCUUUUUCUUUUCCUGGCACUUGAUGGAAUAUCAGCAACCAAUGAGCUAAGCACUAGGGUUGUGGAGAUCUGCUUGUUAUUAUUUGCUUUCCACUUACUGUAUUUGAAAAACAUCAGCACAAGGAAAAGCCAGUGAGUUAGUGUGUUACCCUUUCCAGCAUCUACUAAGAAUAAAGAACAGCUCUUAGUUACCACCACGUCCUCUCCAGUGGCACUAAUAUCACCCAGAAAGACAGAGGACAGUGUGGAUUCAGAGCUGCAUGGGAAAAACCAACCCAGCCGCGAGAUUUACAGAUAUUGUCAACUGAAUCUUGGCUGCUGAGCAGGGAUAGCAGGUGUAAGCCGUGCCAGAUAUUAAUGCCUAAUUAAUAGUGAGAGGCUGCAUCUUGUGAUGGAAUCAACAAGUCAAGAAAGAUUAUCCAGAGAGGGAAAGGAAGGGAGACGUCGCUGGUGGGAUUUUAUUUUCUGCCUUUCGCUCUGCAAGCGUCAUCUGAUGCAGUUCCUCGUGUGCAGCCUCCGAUGGUUUCUCCUUGUCUUUCCUGUCUAUUGAGAAGCACACUAAGUCCAUUUGCUGGCCGGUAGGCAGUAGAGGUGAGAAUUGAAUUGAUCGCAAAUGCUCCGAGAAAUUGACCCUGAGGUCGUCUUCCCUUAAAUUGGGUUCCACACACAAAGUUCCUUUUCUUCCCUGGCUCCUGCAGCAGAAUUGAGUUGUGGGGGGCUGUAAUUAUUUAAAGGAAUUCUUAGGCACCGGAGUUGACUGUCCCUCUGUACCCUUAAUCAAAAUAGAGACCUUUUGUUACGGCCAGUAGUUAAUUAAAGGGCUGGCGUCUAUACCACUGUGGUGUGCCUCUGGCUUGUUUAUAUUUUAAAAUGAGGUCCAUGCCUGAUGUACACGAAGAAAGGGGACCAAAGCUUCUGUGGGGUUAUCAACUGUCCUGAACGGUUAGAAUAGAGUAGAGCAGAUUAGGACCGGACAGAACAACAGAAUUCUCUUUUUACCUUUGUUAUUUCUCUGCCUCUUUCUGUUUCCCCUGUGUCUCCUAUUCCCUCCUCCUCGUUUUCCCCCUCCACUCUCCUCCUCUUCUUCUCCCUCCUAUUCCCUCACUCCUUCGCACACCCUGCAAUGGGAAACAUGGGUCCCUACCAGAGCUCUCAAGGCAUACAGUAUGCUUCGCAAAGUGGGAGUCUGGUGCUGCAUUUACGAGAGAACGCGCCUGCAGAUGGCAUGUUCGGAGCCUCUCCUUUUCUGGUCACAAAGGGUUGCAGAGAGACCAGAAAUUCCUGUACCCAAUGCUGACUUUUGUGACGCAUGCUAAGAGCUGCUUUCUUGUCCUGUGCUUCGGUGGCUAGCUCACACUUGAAGUUCUGGGCUGAUGCUCAAAGGCUGUUGUGGUGUGAUUUCUUAUUUUGUUAAUAUCUUUCAUUCCUUUUCCUCCUGCUCCUCUCUCCCCGUUCCUCUUCCUUUCUUUCCUU